GAUGAACGCUGGCGGCGUGCUUAACACAUGCAAGUCGAACGUAAAGGUCCUGCUCUUGCUGGGCGCUCGAGUGGCGAACGGGUGAGUAACACGUGAGUAUCCUGUCCUUGUCUUUGGGAUAACUUCAGGAAACUGGGGCUCAUAUCGGAUAGGAGCUCUUGCUGCAUGGUGGUGGUUGGUAAGUUUCGGCGGUUGGGGAUGGACUCGAGGGUUAUCCGCUUGAUGGUGUGGUAGUGGCUUACAAAGGUUUCGACGGCUAGCCGGCCUGAGAGGGUGACCGGCCACAUUGGGACUAAGAGAGGGCCCAGACGGGUACGGGAGGCAUCGGUGGGGAAUAUUACGGAAAGGGCGGGAGCCAGAUGCAGCAGCGCCGCGUGCGGGAAGACGGCCUUCGGGUUAUGAACCGCUUUCGCCUGGGACGCAGCGGGAGUGACGGUAAUGGGUAAAGAAGCACCGGCUAACUACGUG
rnacentral:rRNA from 1 species